UCCCGUGGAGGCAGCCGAUG
rnacentral:miRNA from 1 species